rnacentral:rRNA from 1 species
CACUUAACUUCCCAGGGGACGUGGAUAACCUCGGGAAACUGAGGAUAAACCAUGAUAGGCCAAGAUUUCUGGAAUGGAUCAUGGCUAAAACCUAUAUGGCCCCUGGAUUGGACUGCGGCCGAUCAGGCUGUUGGUGAGGUAAUGGCCCACCAAACCUGUAACCGGUACGGGCUCUGAGAGGAGGAGCCCGGAGAUGGGCACUGAGACAAGGGCCCAGGCCCUAUGGGGCGCAGCAGGCGCGAAACCUCUGCAAUAGGCGAAAGCUUGACAGGGUUACUCUGAGUGACGUCCGUUAAGGACGUCUUUUGGCACCUCUAAAAAUGGUGCAGAAUAAGGGGUGGGCAAGUCUGGUGUCAGCCGCCGCGGUAAUACCAGCACCCCGAGUGGUCGGGACGAUUAUUGGGCCUAAAGCAUCCGUAGCCGGUUCUGCAAGUCUUCCGUUAAAUCCACCUGCUCAACAGAUGGGCCGCGGAGGAUACUACAGGGCUAGGAGGCGGGAGAGGCAAGCGGUACUCAGUGGGUAGGGGUAAAAUCCUCUGAUCCACUGAAGACCACCAGUGGCGAAGGCGGCUUGCCAGAACGCGCUCGACGGUGAGGGAUGAAAGCUGGGGGAGCAAACCGGAUUAGAUACCCGGGUAGUCCCAGCUGUAAACGAUGCAGACUCGGUGAUGGGUUGGCUUUGAGCCAACCCAGUGCCGCAGGGAAGCCGUUAAGUCUGCCGCCUGGGAGUACGAUCGCAGACUGAAACU